AUGGGCCUCUUAUCCAUUCCUUUUUCCAAUCAGUUUUCACGCAAGCAAACAGAGGGGAAGACUGGGAGGGAUUACGGAUAUAUAGUGGCGUGAGCAUUAGAGACGAAUAGAAGUAAAGAGCAGAUCUGAAGAAAUAUCUGGAGAAGAACUGUAUCAGAGUGUGCGUUCGAAUAUAGGAAACUGAGCAUUCGGCUUAAGCAAAGGCAACAAACAAUUUUAAGAGAUUGUUGCUUGGAACAAAUAUGUUUUGGAGUGGGCUUUGCGAUCAGAAUUGCAGUAAAGAAUUUUGGUUAAAGAAGAGGAAAAAGAGAAAUAGAAGGAAAGAAACAAAUCAAGGGAAGCGUUCGGUUCUAUGUGCUGAAGGAAAUGGGAAGCUUGACUCGUGGAUCAUGUGAGCAAAACACAAAUUAAUUGAGAGAAAAUUCUGUGAGAGUAAGGAAUAGUAAAGGAAGGACAAGAAAGAAAAUGUAAGGAAUAAGGAAGAAAGAAAGAGGUAAGUAAUUUAUUUGUAUGAUAAUAUGUAUGAUCAUCUUAUAGUUUCCAAAUAAUAGUGAAAAUCUUUAAAGAUGUUAUAUCUAA